rnacentral:rRNA from 1 species
CGCGUAGGCGGUUUGAUAAGUCAGAUGUGAAAGUCCAUGGCUCAACUGUGGAAGUGCAUUUGAAACUGUCAGACUUGAGUAUCGGAGGGGAGUGUGGAAUUCCCGGUGUAGAGGUGAAAUUCGUAGAGAUCGGGAGGAACACCGGUGGCGAAGGCGACACUCUGGACGAAUACUGACGCUGAGGCGCGAAAGCGUGGGGAGCAAACA